rnacentral:rRNA from 1 species
GUCGAGCGGGCAUCUUCGGGUGUCAGCGGCGGACGGGUGAGUAACGCGUGGGAACGUGCCCUCUGGUUCGGAAUAACUCAGGGAAACUUGAGCUAAUACCGGAUACCCCCUUUUGGGGAAAGGCUUGCUGCCGGAAGAUCGGCCCGCGUCUGAUUAUCUAGUUGGUGAGGUAACGGCUCACCAAGGCGACGAUCAGUAUCUGGUCUGAGAGGAUGAUCACCCACACUGGGACUGACACACGGCCCACACUCCUACGGGAGGCAGCAGUGGGGAAUAUUGGACAAUGGGCGCAAGCCUGAUCCACCCAUGCCGCGUGAGUGAUGAAGGCCUUAGGGUUGUAAAGCUCUUUUAUCCGGGACGAUAAUGACGGUACCGGAAGAAUAAGCCCCGGCUAACUUCGUGCCAGCAGCCGCGGUAAUACGAAGGGG